rfam:Rhizobium sp. Root564 contig_9, whole genome shotgun sequence.
GUCCACUGAGCGGCGGACCAGAGCCACAGGCCCGACAUGGCCAUGGCUGCAGCCGGCCGAUAACGCGUCGUCAUGGCGCCCGAGCCGGCUGC